GGAAGUUAUUUGGCACUUAAAAAGCAGCAAAAAAUUUGAACCAGGUAUGUGGUAGAAGACAAGAAGCAAAGGCAAGAAUAAGAAGAAUUAUAUUCACAAUGAAUUAAAGACAGUGAUUUACAGUUAACAACGUAGAAGAGACUUGAGAAGUCACCCAGUCCACCUUAAGCAAUUUCAGUGCCAAGAAGAGGAAGGCUAAUGGGUGAAGUGGCAUUUCCCCACCAGUCCCACUGUCUGCCGGGGGGACAUGACAGAGAAGAGGCACCACUCUGCAACCCGCCAGCCCUGAGCUCUGAGCCUGACUGCCAAACCAUCCAGCCCCUGAGCAGCAGAGUCCUCAGCACCUGAUGAGUUUAGACUUGUGACUUUGACAGGAGUUUUGGGAUAUUUGAUGUUA